CAUGAACGCUGGCGGCGUGCUUAACACAUGCAAGUCGAACGAAGCACUUUGGACGGAUUCUUCGGAUGAAGUCCUUAGUGACUGAGUGGCGGACGGGUGAGUAACGCGUGGGUAACCUGCCUCAUACAGGGGGAUAACAGUUAGAAAUGGCUGCUACAACCGCAUAAGCGCACAGUACUGAAUGUUACAGCGUGAAAAACUCCGGUGGUAGGAGAUGGACCCGCGUUGGAUUAGCUAGUUGGCAGGGUAACGGCCUACCAAGGCGACGAUCCAUAGCCGGCCUGAGAGGGUGGACGGCCACAUUGGGACUGAGACACGACCCAGACUCCUACGGGAGGCAGCAGUGGGGAAUAUUGCACAAUGGGGGAAACCCUGAUGCAGCGACGCCGCGUGAGCGAAGAAGUAUUUCGGUAUGUAAAGCUCUAUCAGCAGGGAAGAAAAUGACGGUACCUGACUAAGAAGCCCUGGCUAACUACGUGCCAGCCGCCGCGGUAAUAC
rnacentral:rRNA from 1 species